rnacentral:rRNA from 1 species
GAUGAACGCUGGCGGCGUGCCUAAUACAUGCAAGUCGAGCGAAUGGAUUAAGAGCUUGCUCUUAUGAAGUUAGCGGCGGACGGGUGAGUAACACGUGGGUAACCUGCCCAUAAGACUGGGAUAACUCCGGGAAACCGGGGCUAAUACCGGAUAAUAUUUUGAACUGCAUGGUUCGAAAUUGAAAGGCGGCUUCGGCUGUCACUUAUGGAUGGACCCGCGUCGCAUUAGCUAGUUGGUGAGGUAACGGCUCACCAAGGCAACGAUGCGUAGCCGACCUGGGAGGGGGAUCGGCCGCACUGGGACUGGGACACGGCCCAGACUCCUACGGGAGGCAGCAGUAGGGAAUCUUCCGCAAUGGACGAAAGUCUGACGGAGCAACGCCGCGUGAGUGAUGAAGGCUUUCGGGUCGUAAAACUCUGUUGUUAGGGAAGAACAAGUGCUAGUUGAAUAAGCUGGCACCUUGACGGUACCUAACCAGAAAGCCACGGCUAACUACGUGCCAGCCGCCGCGGUAA